rnacentral:misc_RNA from 1 species
GAAAUGCGAAAGGCAAUGCGAAUUGCAGAAUUCCGCGAGUCAUCAGAUAUUUGAACGUAAGUGGCGCCGAUCGGAUAUCCGGUUGGCAUGCUUGUUUCAGUGUCAUAAAUUCUCACAAAUCUAAAUGUGAUUGAUAAAUGAUUUUGUGUGCUUUGCAUACAAUUUUCACGAAUCUCUCAUGAAAUUAGAAUGUGUCAGUGCUUCAACACAACGAAGUAGUCACAUUUCAUGUGAUCUCGUUGUUGAGGGAGUAACUCUGCAACACAUAGAGGAUUAUCCUCUUCAAAUAGAAUCUGAAAUCAAGCAAGAACACCCGCUGAACUUAA